rnacentral:tRNA from 1 species
AGAGGAUAGCUCAGUAGGUUAAGAUGUUUGUCUUGCAAGCAUGAGUUCCUGGGUUCCAUCCCCAGAACCUCUA